AAAUUGAAGAGUUUGAUCAUGGCUCAGAUUGAACGCUGGCGGCAGGCCUAACACAUGCAAGUCGAACGGUAACAGGAAGCAGCUUGCUGCUUUGCUGACGAGUGGCGGACGGGUGAGUAAUGUCUGGGAAACUGCCUGAUGGAGGGGGAUAACUACUGGAAACGGUAGCUAAUACCGCAUAACGUCGCAAGACCAAAGAGGGGGACCUUCGGGCCUCUUGCCAUCGGAUGUGCCCAGAUGGGAUUAGCUAGUAGGUGGGGUAACGGCUCACCUAGGCGACGAUCCCUAGCUGGUCUGAGAGGAUGACCAGCCACACUGGAACUGAGACACGGUCCAGACUCCUACGGGAGGCAGCAGUGGGGAAUAUUGCACAAUGGGCGCAAGCCUGAUGCAGCCAUGCCGCGUGUAUGAAGAAGGCCUUCGGGUUGUAAAGUACUUUCAGCGGGGAGGAAGGGAGUAAAGUUAAUACCUUUGCUCAUUGACGUUACCCGCAGAAGAAGCACCGGCUAACUCCGUGCCAGCAGCCGCGGUAAUACGGAGGGUGCAAGCGUUAAUCGGAAUUACUGGGCGUAAAGCGCACGCAGGCGGUUUGUUAAGUCGGAUGUGAAAUCCCCGGGCUCAACCUGGGAACUGCAUCUGAUACUGGCAAGCUUGAGUCUCGUAGAGGGGGGUAGAAUUCCAGGUGUAGCGGUGAAAUGCGUAGAGAUCUGGAGGAAUACCGGUGGCGAAGGCGGCCCCCUGGACGAAGACUGACGCUCAGGUGCGAAAGCGUGGGGAGCAAACAGGAUUAGAUACCCUGGUAGUCCACGCCGUAAACGAUGUCGACUUGGAGGUUGUGCCCUUGAGGCGUGGCUUCCGGAGCUAACGCGUUAAGUCGACCGCCUGGGGAGUACGGCCGCAAGGUUAAAACUCAAAUGAAUUGACGGGGGCCCGCACAAGCGGUGGAGCAUGUGGUUUAAUUCGAUGCAACGCGAAGAACCUUACCUGGUCUUGACAUCCACGGAAGUUUUCAGAGAUGAGAAUGUGCCUUCGGGAACCGUGAGACAGGUGCUGCAUGGCUGUCGUCAGCUCGUGUUGUGAAAUGUUGGGUUAAGUCCCGCAACGAGCGCAACCCUUAUCCUUUGUUGCCAGCGGUUUGGCCGGGAACUCAAAGGAGACUGCCAGUGAUAAACUGGAGGAAGGUGGGGAUGACGUCAAGUCAUCAUGGCCCUUACGACCAGGGCUACACACGUGCUACAAUGGCGCAUACAAAGAGAAGCGACCUCGCGAGAGCAAGCGGACCUCAUAAAGUGCGUCGUAGUCCGGAUUGGAGUCUGCAACUCGACUCCAUGAAGUCGGAAUCGCUAGUAAUCGUGGAUCAGAAUGCCACGGUGAAUACGUUCCCGGGCCUUGUACACACCGCCCGUCACACCAUGGGAGUGGGUUGCAAAAGAAGUAGGUAGCUUAACCUUCGGGAGGGCGCUUACCACUUUGUGAUUCAUGACUGGGGUGAAGUCGUAACAAGGUAACCGUAGGGGAACCUGCGGUUGGAUCACCUCCUUACCUUAAAGAA
rnacentral:rRNA from 1 species